GGUCUCGUGGUCUAGCGGUAUGAUACUCGCUUAGGGAGAUACAGCUUCUGCUGUUUCUUGAAAACUCUAAGCCAAUUGCGAGUGGUCCCGGGUUCGAUUCCCGGCGAGACCC
rnacentral:tRNA from 1 species